rnacentral:rRNA from 1 species
UACGUAGGGUGCGAGGCGUUGUCCGGAAUUAUUGGGCGUAAAAGGGCUCGUAGGCGGUUUUGUCGCGUCGGGAGUGAAAUCCACUGGCUUAACUGGUGGCUUGCUUUCGAUACGGGCAGACUGGAGGUAUGCAGGGGAGAACGGAAUUCCUGGUGUAGCGGUGAAAUGCGCAGAUAUCAGGAGGAACACCGGUGGCGAAGGCGGUUCUCUGGGCAUGUCCUGACGUGAGGAGCGAAAGUGUGGGGAGCGAACAGG